GUACUGCUGAAGAGUCCCAAACUAGGACGAAACAGCUAUCCGGUAC
rnacentral:hammerhead_ribozyme from 1 species